GAGCGGUAACAGGAGAAGCUUGCUUCUCGCUGACGAGCGGCGGACGGGUGAGUAAUACUUAGGAAUCUACCUAGUAGUGGGGGAUAGCUCGGGGAAACUCGAAUUAAUACCGCAUACGACCUACGGGAGAAAGGGGGCAACUUGUUGCUCUCGCUAUUAGAUGAGCCUAAGUCGGAUUAGCUAGAUGGUGGGGUAAAGGCCUACCAUGGCGACGAUCUGUAGCUGGUCUGAGAGGAUGAUCAGCCACACCGGGACUGAGACACGGCCCGGACUCCUACGGGAGGCAGCAGUGGGGAAUAUUGGACAAUGGGGGCAACCCUGAUCCAGCCAUGCCGCGUGUGUGAAGAAGGCCUUUUGGUUGUAAAGCACUUUAAGCAGUGAAGAAGACUCUAUGGUUAAUACCCAUAGACGAUGACAUUAGCUGCAGAAUAAGCACCGGCUAACUCUGUGCCAGCAGCCGGCGGUAAUAA
rnacentral:rRNA from 1 species